AGAAAGGCACUAUUAUGUAUCUUAGGCGGAAAGACAAAUUCCCGUAUUGUCAGCAUCAAAUGUUGCAGCAGUGAAUGCCUAUAUUGUUAGCAAUGGGAAUGACAUUCUUGUUAUGAGAAUCUACAAUUACAGUUGAUCUUACUCCAUAAGAAUCAAGUCCAUAUGUCACUGCAUAAAUUCUCUUGUCAGAGGACUAAGAGUUAGGUCUUGGUGAAAGAGAAUUCACUCAGCAAUUCAUUAAUGAAUCUAUUUCAAAGAAAAUUGGGUGCUUCUGCUUGCAAGUAAAUCACCUUGUCUAUUAAACUGGAUAAAAUAUAUUUGAUGUUGGUGUUCCAUCCAUUAGUAGGGAAUGUUCUUUUGGGACAUUACAAGGAUAUGUCAAUGCCUCAAAGACCACUAUGACAAUGUUCCCUUGAGCUUCAGCUUUAAGAAUGAUUGCCUCGAAGAAUCAGAUGCUGGAAACUAAUUCGAAUGGUACA